GGACUACCAGGGUUUCUAAUCCCGUUUGCUCCCCUGGCCUUCGUGCCUCAGCGUCAGGAACUGUCCAGAGACCCGCCUUCGCCACUGGUCUUCCUUACGAUAUCUACGCAUUUCACCGCUACACCGUAAAUUCCAGUCUCCUCUCCAGUCCUCAAGCACGGCAGUAUCGAAUGCAGUUUCGGAGUUAAGCCCCGAGAUUUCACACCCGACUUACCGCGCCGCCUACGCACCCUUUACGCCCAAUGAAUCCGUACAACGCUUGAGACCUCUGUAUUACCGCGGCGGCUGGCACC
rnacentral:misc_RNA from 1 species